rnacentral:tRNA from 1 species
GCAUGUAGCUCAGCGGUAGAGCAUGUGUUUAGCAUGUGUAAGGUCCUGGGUUCAAUCUCCAGCACCA